rnacentral:rRNA from 1 species
CAGCGCCACAAGUUGUAUUCGGAUUUAUUGGGCCUAAAGCGUCCGUAGCCGGCCGUGUAAAUCUCUUGUGAAAUCGUUGCGCUUAACGUAACGGCGUGCAGGAGACACUGCAUAGCUUGGGACCGGGAGGGGUCAGAGGUAUUCUAGGGGGAGCGGUAAAAUGCUAUAAUCCUUAGAGGACCACCGGUGGCGAAGGCGUCUGACCAGAACGGAUCCGACGGUGAGGGACGAAAGCCAGGGGAGCAAUCCGGAUUAGAUACCCGAGUAGUCC